GAUGAACGCUGGCGGCGUGCUUAACACAUGCAAGUCGAACGAUGAAGCCCAGCUUGCUGGGUGGAUUAGUGGCGAACGGGUGAGUAACACGUGAGUAACCUGCCCUUAACUCUGGGAUAAGCCUGGGAAACUGGGUCUAAUACCGGAUAGGAGCGUCCACCGCAUGGUGGGUGUUGGAAAGAUUUAUCGGUUUUGGAUGGACUCGCGGCCUAUCAGCUUGUUGGUGAGGUAAUGGCUCACCAAGGCGACGACGGGUAGCCGGCCUGAGAGGGUGACCGGCCACACUGGGACUGAGAUACGGCCCAGACUCCUACGGGAGGCAGCAGUGGGGAAUAUUGCACAAUGGGCGGAAGCCUGAUGCAGCGACGCCGCGUGAGGGAUGACGGCCUUCGGGUUGUAAACCUCUUUCAGUAGGGAAGAAGCGAAAGUGACGGUAACUGCAGAAGAAGCACCGGCUAACUACGUG
rnacentral:rRNA from 1 species